GCCUGGCGAAAAAGCAAGACUCCAUCUCAAAAAGAAAAAGAAAAUCCUUUGCAAUAUAUAAAGCAUUAAGCAUUCAUGCUCUAUCAGACAAGCCUGUGUUCAAUCCUUGCUUCACCAUCUGGUGUCUAUGUGACUUUGGGAGUAAUUCACCAUUCUAUGAUCCAGGUUGUGGUGAGAAUUAAAUGGUGAUGCAUGUUAAAAAAAAAAAAAAAAAAGCAUAGCACUGAGUUUAUAAUAAGCUGUCAAAUGUUAUCUAUUAUCAUUAUUAUUAAAAAGUUAUAAAGAAACUGGAAACCUCAUAAAUUGCUAUGAAUACAACAUAAAUUGCUAUGGUACAGCCGCUAUGGAAAACAGUUUGGCAGGUCCUUAAAAAGUUAAACACAGAAUUACCAUAUGACCUAACAAUUCUACUCCUAGUUAUAUACAGGAGAGAAGUGAAAAUACGUGUUCACAGAAAAACUUGUACACAAAUGUCCAUAGCAGCAUUAUUCCUAAUAGACAACAAAGUGGGAAACAAGCAAAUGUCCAUCAACUGAUGAUGGAUACAUAAAAGAUGCUAUUAUCCAUAUAAUGGAUGAGUAUUUGGCAAUAAAAAGGAAUGAGAUGAUACAUGAUACAAUGUACAUAAACCUGGAAAUCAUUAUACUAAUACUAAGUGAAAGAAAAUACAAAAGACCACAUAUUUUAUGAUUCCAUUUAUAAGAAAUGUCCAGAGUAGGCAAAUCCAUACAGAUGGAUACAGGGGAAAAGGUGGGUGUGAUUGAUACUGAUUGAUAACAGAUACAAGGCUUCUUACUGAGAUGUUAGAAAAGUUCUGGAAUUAGUGGUUAUGUUUGCACAACAUAGUGAAUACACUAAAAACCAAUGAACUGUACACUUCAAAAUGGUGAAUUUUAUCUUAUGUGAAUUAUAUCUCAAUAAAAAACACAAAAUACUAACAAUGCAUAUAAAAAUUAAGAGUGUUAAUCUUAAUUUACUUUUGAGAAAUACAACAGUAAAGGAACAUCUAGUUCUUGUCAAAAUACAACCUAAUUAUCAAAUGACAAAAGGUGACCUUUAUGAUUUGUUAACAGAUGACAAUGGGCCUUUCUGAAAUUGCUGUUUAGAUCAAGGCCAUCUAUUGCCAAAUUUAUUCAUUUUCAAGGGAUUUCUAAACCUAAUACUAGGUACUUUACUUUCAGGGUACAUAUGAAUACGAUCAUCUCCUGUUGAGGGGUAGAAAAACACCCCAGAAAAGACACACUAGGUUAUUUUCUUUCUUUUUUUUUUUCUGAAACGGAGUCUCGCUCUGUCACCAGGGUGGAGUGCAGUGGUGCAAUCUCGGCUCACCGCGAUCUCGGCUCACUGCAACCUCCGCCUCCCUGCAACUUCCGCCUCCCAGAUUCAAGCGGUUCUCCUGCCUCAGCCUCCGGAGUAGCUGGGCGCUUGCCACCACGCCCAGCUAAUU
rnacentral:lncRNA from 1 species